rnacentral:rRNA from 1 species
UACGUAGGGGGCAAGCGUUGUCCGGAAUCAUUGGGCGUAAAGAGCGUGUAGGCGGCUCGCAAAGUCUGGUGUGAAAACUUGAGGCUCAACCUCAAGCUGUCACUGGAUACUGGCGGGCUUGAGUCCGGAAGAGGAGAGUGGAAUUCCUGGUGUAGCGGUGGAAUGCGCAGAUAUCAGGAGGAACACCUAUGGCGAAGGCGGCCCACUGGCUCGAUACUGACGCUGAGGUGCGAAAGCGUGGGGAGCAAACAGG